CUGACUGCCACUGGGGAAGGAUCUCUGAUUGGAGAUCCCUUCCGUGUGGAAUUUUCCCUGCAAACCUACCUCUUCAGUGAUGGGAUGAGGCUACACCAGCUGACAAGCAGUACAAACAGGAGCCAGCCCAGGUCACUUACUCUACGUCAGCUGUUUCCAGCACACAGGAGGUGUUGUACAUUAAUGGAAAUGGGACCUACAGUUACCAUAGUUACAGAGGGCUCGGAGGUGGGCUGCUAAAUCUCAACGAUGCUUCUAGCAGUGAUCUGCAGCCAACUUCCACUACAGCCACAACUCAGCACUGCCUCCCAGGCUCCACGAACGUCCAGUCUCCUUCCAACUCAGGUCCAACAGAUCUCAGUAUGAAGAGGCAGUUAGCAAGCAGCUCAGGCUCCUCCAGCAGUACAAGCUCCAGGCCCCAGCUGAGCCCCACUGAGAUCAACGCUGUGAGGCAGCUGGUGGCAGGGUACAGGGAAUCAGCUGCCUUUUUAUUGCGUUCUGCAGAUGAACUGGAAAACCUGAUUUUGCAGCAGAACUGAGUCAUGUGACCUACACACUGGCCUGGUCUUAUCUCAGAGUUUCCACUAAUGACAUUUUGAUUUCCCAGAGCACACACUUCAGUUACCGCGCAGUCUUUUAGGAGAGUUAAUUACCAUAAUGCCACACUGUUCUUGAUCCAUAAAGUGAUGUGUUAAGGUGCUUCAAGUGAACUUCGACCUCUGGUAUUUCUGAGGUACUUUACUGUGUCCAGCCUAUUGCUUUUGUUUUAGUGUGUCAGCAUAAAACAGUGGCUAGAAAUUAACUCGUUCUAACACGUGGAGGAAACAGAAGAUGCUGUGAUGUUUUUUUGAAAAAUGGUUCAAGAUCCAAGUGCAAUAUUAGUGGAAUGUGAUACUGACUCAUUGGACUUAAAGCUGCAGUAUAUGGCAAACUGUUGCCAAAUGUCCUGUUGCUACAGGGCACAAUUGCAAUUAAAAGGAUCUUGUAUUUUAAAAAAAUGUAAUUUUUAUAAAAAGCAAAACAAAAGAUUUUUCGUUUUCAUUCAAGAUUUUUCAUUUUUACUUUGGUAAACUUUUUCACUGAUCCUGAAAACGUUUUGAGGAGCUAUUGUAAGUCCCCCUUCCUCUCUUGAACCCCUGACUGUGCCCUUCUCCCCAACUUCAUAUUCUUUCUACAGUGAGUAACUCUUGAUGCUGGAUAAUUCUCCCCUGUGUACUGUAAAUUGUCAUCUACAGAAUACCUUCCAAAGGAAGCAUGCAUUUCCUGCAUUCAUACCAUUCUCAGCUCCAUUCUGUAAUAUAUUGCAGCUUUAUUAGCAAUUAAUAAAAAGUUGAGGGUUUUUUAAAAAAACAACAUAUCAUUGAGAAAACAAAACUAGAAGUUGAUUUCUUACAGUGAGCUCAUCUAACUCCAUGAUCACUGCUGCUGUCCCGGACAAGUCCCUCUAGUUGUGAUUGGAUAUAGGUGAUGAAUGUUAAGAGGUUGCAAGUGACAAUCUGAAAAUUUGCACUCUUGUGUGUAUUUAUUAUUUUUUCCUUAAUUUAAACAAAAUUCUUGUGGAGGAAGGUCACUGACACUUCUGGUAUGAUUUGUAUAAUGCCCAGGCCUAGCUAAAAACUGUACAAAAAUGUAAAUGGAUGCAGCUGCAACUAUACUGAAACUCUUCUCUCUCCCUCACCCCCCACUCUUCCCAACCCCUCUAUUUCUUAUUUUAUAAUAUUGAUUACACAUUAAUGGUGUUUUCUUUGUGCACUAUGGCAGGUUUAUUUUUAAGUAUAUAGAAAAAGUAAUUUAGUUUAUGCUUACUGUACUAUCUGUUCUGUUGUUUGGCUUUUGUUGAAUAACAAUUUUCUUGUGCAUUCCUAAAUUUGCCUUAUUUCAUGUACAAAAUUUUAUGUAAUUCCAUUUUUUGACAAUGAGUUUAAGGCAUCGGUGAUAUUUUAUAUCUACUUGUUACAUAUAGUUUUCCAAGUAAUGACUGUGAUUGUGACCAAGUAAUGUGCACUUUUUCUUGUAACUGUGGACAUUGCUAUGCUUUUUUUUCUCUAGUGUUUCUAGAAUUACUGUUGCUUACAGUUAUGUAAAAGAAAAAGAACUUUUGUGAUACUGUUGGUGAAUAUUAAUGUGAAAAAGCCUAUGAAAUAUGAGUAUUUUGAAGGUAACAUAGAUACACAAACAUCUCUAAGUUGUGAACUGAUGUUCACAUAUUUAAAUGGGAAUUCAAAACCUGAGGGCUGGAAUCAUUUCCUCUGUUUCGUUUGGGUAAAUAAACAUAUUUCUGUGUUUAAAUACAUGAUUGUGAAACAUUAUAACAUUUAAAUUGCCAUAACAUUUAAAGUUAUAAGGAUUAUUCUCUUUAGACAGGGAAAACAGAUUUCCAGUCCAAUUCAUGCAGACAGCCAAAACUCAUUUCUCAAAAUAAUUGGGUAAAUUCAGUAGGCUUAUCAAGCUGGAGCUUUGUUUUAAUGAAGAAUUUCCUCAAUAAGACUAGAAGUAUGUGGUCCAUAAAUCAUAGGACCCAAGUCACUAACAUUUUAUAAUAUUAAAUUGGCUGGAGGCAACACCAUUUUGCUACUCUGCAUUUAUUUAAGAAAACAACAACAACAAGAAAACCUGUUGGGUGUCUAUUUUAAAGGCACUUAUUCUUCUAUAUGAGAAUAUUGUUUCAAUUCCUUACUAGCUGCUAACCUAUCACUUGAGAAAUGCAUUUACUUCCCACAUCUACUCACAAUGUUUGUGAAAGCCUGUAGCUUGUCUCUCCUAGAAGUGUGAUUCCCUCAGCUUCUGUCUCUCUAGACAUUCAAAAGUCUAUUAGGAUCGAAGUGUUCUUUUCUCUCUUCUACUUUUAUUUAGCUCCAACUUAUUCUGUCUCUUGCUUGUCAGAGGGGAAAAAGCAGGUACCCUGUGGCAGAUUGCUAUGUUACUGAACCAAAGGACAACACUGGCACAUGUUUUCCAUAAAGAAUGGUGAAGUGAAAAUUACACAUAGGUUUCAUUAGUCCUGUCUUGUACGGCCAGUAUGCAGCAACCAACAGCUUGUCCAGAAGGCUGCUUCCCAGCCAGGAAUACUUCUCAACUGGACAGCCUCAGUACUUUCUGAGAUGCUUUGCUAAAUCCAAAUAAAUAUGUUAGGGAAAGAGAUUUAUGUCAGUGGCCUACCCUCUGGAUCCUUUUUCCAACUGAAAUUCCUUCACUUGAAGGAGAAGUAGGAAAGUUACGGGUUAGAAAAUGACCUUCAAGGCCUGCAGCUAGCCUUUCCCUUUUUCUGCUCUACCCCCAACCUACAUUAAGCAUUCUCCAAGUAUGUCUUCUAUACCACAUCCUCUUCUUCUGGAUGCUUUCUCUUAAGUGUUUAGGGCCUCCUUCAAUUUUAGAGGCAAUUUUAGAUGCAUCCUCCUUUAAAUGUUCACACAGAUACAUAGCUUUCAGCCCAAGUGCUUUAUCUGUGCCAAAUUCCAGCAGACUAAUGGAGUUUUUAAUCUACAGCUGCUUCUACCUCUGUGUACUGGGUUUAUUCGUUUCUUCUUUGGAUGAAUCAUAGAUUCAGUCAUAACUUCCUUUUCUAAGAGGGUACUGAAAUUCAAUCCCAUCCUGUGAAGGAGAGACUAUAAAUCUCAGUCCAUUUUUGUGUGUACAAAUAUAGACCCAAGCAUCACAAUCAAAUUUGCUCUCUUGAAUCCAGUACAGGUCUCACAGCUACCAAUUGUCUGCUUGCCCUGAACCUCCUAAGGAAGUAAUGGCUCAGGUGAAGAGCUCCCUCAAGCCACAGACUGAAUAAGGUAUCCAAAAAUAACUUCAGAGAAAUCUUUUUCUUAGCCACAUCUUCUGUAAUCAAUGCCCUAUAAACUCAGUCUAAAUACUGCUAUUAGGAUAAGGCCAAUCCCUUCCAGUACAGGCACAUCUCUGAGUAUUCCUGCCUAAGUCUGCCUUCAGAAAAGCAUUCCCAUUAUGUCCAGAGCUGUUAUUGUACCAAGCUGAUGUAUGGCUCGGUACACCUCAUCCAUGCAGACUGUAGAGACAGCCCCACAUCUUUCCAGCUACCCUUCAGUUUCCUGUCCUGCAAAACCGUCAGUCUUCCAGUGAGUUUCUGGAAGAGGAAGUCUUACAGGAGAAUGUCCUUUAAUAUCCUUAAAUUCCCAUUUUAUCUGGGGCCCUGAGUGCCAAACUUGACAAUGUUGUCAGUGCAUUGGGCCUCAUUAGUCUUAACUAUUCACACUGGGGAGGCAAGUUGUUAUUCUCUCUUCAAAUUCUAGGGUGGUUUUUGUUGAUAGGGCAGGCAGCUGGGCAAGAGCUUUAGAAACAACCUUAGACUGUGGGAGUGGGAAAUGCUACCAGCUUAGUAACUUACUAGAUUUGUUUACUGUACUUGACAUUGUCAGCUGGAAAACUAGAGACAGAACACAUGAAGAAAGAUCUGUGGUCAAAUUAUUUCUUCUAGGUUGGCACCUUGCUCCUUGUCGUCAAAGAACAUCACUGUCUCAGCUAUGAUGAACAUCUCAAGCUUCAGAAAACCAGUGCAUGAAUAAGCAAGUUGCCUUUCCCUUAUGGACAAUCUUCUGAAUGAGGAAAAACAGAUGAGCACAUAUAUGACCAUAGUUGCAAAAAUGAUCAGAAAGCAGCUAUACUGAAGGAAUUGGAUAUUCUUCCUUGAAGGAUCUGAGUACCUACUGACAACAUUAAGUGGAGGUAAUUUUGUUGCUGAAAUUCUAUUCAAACUUGGAGAAAAUUUGUUUUUCCUCAAGUUCCUAUCCCUGUGUUAAAAAAACCUACUAUAAAGUUCUAAAAUCCUCCUAGUUUGAGACGCUUGUCAGUCAUUCAUAAUGAAGAUGUUUACUUUCUACAUAAAACUGAGCAUAUUGGAGACUGGAGUCAGGACUACCCUGACAUCCACUACUGAAAACCAAUUACUGGCACAUGAAAAUGAAUUCUGAAAUAAUGACACAAAUCAAGUAAUGCCACACAGAUGAUUACUGAAGUAAGUACCUAAGAAUAUGAAAUGACUCUGUGGGAGAAGAUCUAUCUUGCACUUGGCCUUGUAUCCUGGCUCUAAUAAUAAAUAAAACAGAUAAAGAUGCAAAUACAGCAAUUCAGAAGAAUAGAUCAGGCAUAGAGCAGUGCUUUUAGAAUACACAUUCAUGGCCUUCAACAGUUUAAGGCUGUAGCAGGUAAGUUUCCAUCCUGUUACUCGCUCAUUACUCCCA